GAUUGACGCUGGCGGCGUGCAUAACACAUGCGAGUCGAACGAUGAAACUUAAAUGAUUUCUUCGGAAUGAACUUAAGUGGAUUAGUGGCGGACGGGUGAGUAACGCGUGAGUAACCUGCCUUACACAAGGGGAUAGCCGUUGGAAACGACGAAUAAUACCCUAUGAAACUAUCACUUCGCAUGAAGCGAUAGUCAAAGUGUUAGCGGUGUAAGAUGGACUUGCGUCUGAUUAGCUAGUUGGUGAGAAAAAAGCCCACCAAGGCAACGAUCAGUAGCCGGCUUGAGAGAGUGUACGGCCACAUUGGGACUGAGACACGGCCCAGACUCCUACGGGAGGCAGCAGUGGGGAAUUUUGCACAAUGGGGGAAACCCUGAUGCAGCGACGCCGCGUGAUUUAGAAGGCCUUCGGGUUGUAAAAAUCUUUUGUAUAGGAAGAAAAUGACAGUACUAUACGAAUAAGGUCCGGCUAAUUACGUG
rnacentral:rRNA from 1 species